rnacentral:rRNA from 1 species
AAAUCAAUUGUCUUUUAAAUGGAGACCUGUAUGAAUGGCGUGACGAGGGCUUAACUGUCUCCUUUUCUUGGUCAAUGAAAUUGAUCUCCCCGUGCAGAAGCGGGGAUAAGCACAUAAGACGAGAAGACCCUGUGGAGCUUUAGACACCGGAGCAGCCCAAUGUUAAAUUACCCUCUUAAGAAGCAAUAAUUCAAGGUGCCUACUCUCAUGUCUUUGGUUGGGGCGACCAUGGAGUAAAAAAUAACCUCCACGAGGAAAAGAAGUACUACUUUUUUAAACCAGGGCUACCGCCCUACUAAUCAGAAUUUCUGACCCUAUUGAUCCGACCCAUGCCGAUUAACGAAUUGAGUUACCCCCAGGGAUAACAGCGCCAAUCCCCCCUUAAAGACCA